rnacentral:rRNA from 1 species
UUGAGUGGCGAACGGGUGAGUAACACGUGGGCAACCUGCCCAAAAGAGGGGGAUAACACUUGGAAACAGGUGCUAAUACCGCAUAACCAUAGUUACCGCAUGGUAACUAUGUAAAAGGUGGCUAUGCUACCGCUUUUGGAUGGGCCCGCGGCGCAUUAGCUAGUUGGUGGGGUAAAGGCUUACCAAGGCAAUGAUGCGUAGCCGAACUGAGAGGUUGAUCGGCCACAUUGGGACUGAGACACGGCCCAAACUCCUACGGGAGGCAGCAGUAGGGAAUCUUCCACAAUGGGCGAAAGCCUGAUGGAGCAACGCCGCGUGGGUGAAGAAGGUCUUCGGAUCGUAAAACCCUGUUGUUAGAGAAGAAAGUGCGUGAGAGUAACUGUUCACGUUUCGACGGUAUCUAACCAGAAAGCCACGGCUAACUACGUGCCAGCAGCCGCGGUGAAUACGUUCCCGGGCCUUGUACACACCGCCCGUCACACCAUGAGAGUUUGUAACACCCAAAGCCGGUGGGGUAACCUUUUGGAGCCAGCCGUCUAAGGUGGGACAGAUGAUUAGGGUGAAGUCGUAACAAGGUAAAGGGCGAAUUCCAGCACACUGGCGGCCGUUACUAGUGGAUCCGAGCUCGGUACCAAGCUUGAUGCAUAGCUUGAGUAUUCUAACGCGUCACCUAAAUAGCUUGGCGUAAUCAUGGUCAUAGCUGUUUCCUGUGUGAAAUUGUUAUCCGCUCACAAUUCCACACAACAUACGAGCCGGAAGCAUAAAGUGUAAAG